rnacentral:rRNA from 1 species
UGUGAGCGACGAAGGCCUUAGGGUCGUUAAAGCUCUGUUGUUAGGGACGAAGGGCGAAGGGUUAAUAGCCCUUAGCCUGACGGUACCUUUCGAGGAAGCCCCGGCUAACUACGUGCCAGCAGCCGCGGUAAUACGUAGGGGGCGAGCGUUGUCCGGAAUUAUUGGGCGUAAAGGGCGCGUAGGCGGCCUGGUAAGUCUGCUGUGAAACCUUGGGGCUCAACCCCAAGCGUGCAGUGGAUACUGUCAGGCUAGAGGAUGGUAGAGGCCAGUGGAAUUCCCGGUGUAGCGGUGAAAUGCGCAGAUAUCGGGAGGAACACCAGUAGCGAAGGCGGCUGGCUGGGCCAUUCCUGACGCUGAGGCGCGAAAGCUAGGGGAGCGAACAGGAUUAGAUACCCUGGUAGUCCUAGCCGUAAACGAUGAACACUAGGUGUGGGGGGAGUCGAAUCCCUCCGUGCCGAAGCCAACGCGUUAAGUGUUCCGCCUGGGGAGUACGGCCGCAAGGCUAAAACUCAAAAGAAUUGACGGGGGCCCGCACAAGCAGCGGAGCGUGUUCUUUAAUUCGAUGCAACGCGAAGAACCUUACCUGGGCUUGACAUGGCACUGCAAGCGCACGGAAACGUGUGACCUUCGAGGGUGUGCCACAGAUGCUGCAUGGCUGUCGUCAGCUCGUGUCGUGAGAUGUUGGGUUAAGUCCCGCAACGAGCGCAACCCCUGUCGUGUGUUGCCAGCAUUAAGUUGGGGACUCACGCGAGACUGCCGGUGACAAACCGGAGGAAGGUGGGGAUGACGUCAAGUCAUCAUGGCUCUUACGUCCAGGGCUAGAAACGUGCUACAAUGGCGUACACAAAGGGCAGCAAGACCGCAAGGUGGAGCGAAUCUCAUCAAAGUACGUCUAAGUUCGGAUCGGGGUCUGCAAUUCGACCCCGUGAAGCUGGAGUUGCUAGUAAUCGCGGAUCAGAAUGCCGCGGUGAAUGCGUUCCCGGGCCUUGUACACACCGCCCGUCACACCACGGGAGUAGGCAAUACCCGAAGUCGGCGCAGCCAACCCUUCGCGGGAGGCGGUCGGCGAAGGUAGGGCUUGCGACUGGGGUG